rnacentral:rRNA from 1 species
AUACGUAGGGGGCGAGCGUUGUCCGGAAUGAUUGGGCGUAAAGGGCGCGUAGGCGGCUUUGCUAGUCAGUAGUGGAAGUCCAUUUUUCAAGGAUGGAAGUGCUACAGAAACUGCGGAGCUUGAGUGCAGGAGAGGUUAUCGGAAUUCCCGGUGUAGCGGUGAAAUGCGUAGAGAUCGGGAGGAACACCAGUGGCGAAGGCGGGUAACUGGACUGCAACUGACGCUGAGGCGCGAAAGUGUGGGGAGCAAACAGGAUUAGAUACCCUGGUAGUCCACACUGUAAACGAUGAAUGCUAGGUGUAGGAGGUAUCGACCCCUUCUGUGCCGCAGUAAACACAGUAAGCAUUCCGCCUGGGGAGUACGGUCGCAAGAUUAAAACUCAAAUGAAUUGACGGGG